GACUCCUGACUCCUGACUGACUGACUCCUGACUCCUGACUCCUGACGUGGGAAGCUAUAGCAGGAGCAGCUCACUGGCCUGGCAGAACGACCACGUGUGAUUCCAGCCUCUAGCUGCAGAACUCCUUUCCCUAAGAUAGAACGGAUGGACCAUCGGCGACUGACAUAAUGCGGUGAAGAGUCAGGAUCCAGAUGCUGGGAUGCACCAGCCCGUCCACUACAUUGUGCAUUCACGGGAGGUGAAAUGAACAGGUGGACAUCUAAGGCCUACAGAAUCAUCUGCUGCCUGCAGCUGCUCAUGGGGCCUUCCGGGGACACAGUGAGCGCCGGGUGCUGUAGACAAUGGCGUGGCUUUGGGAGCAUAAGGCAAGAAAGCUCCACAAUGAGUGACUGCUUAACAAUGAUUUUCUUUGGAGACUGAAUUCUCCAAAGGUGUCAAGGAAGGCCCCCUCCAGGGCCACCGGGAAGGAGGCACCCUGGAAACGCUGUUCACACAUCCUGACAGGUGCGGUUUAAGUACAAUGGUUCGAAUGAGUGUU